AGAACAGAAAGUAACGAAUGAAGAGUACCUCGUUAACAUUGACGAGGGUACUGUUCAUUGCUAUUAAAAAAACUCAACUUUUAUUCAAUUCAUUCUCUCUCUCUCUCUCUCACAAACCAAUCCUCAUAGAUCGGUGGUGUUGAUUUGUUCUGGGGUGUUGGUGAUCUAGUGCAAAGUGGUGGAGCUUUUCUCCCGGUUUGAUUCUGUCUUUCUUCUCCCUCAAGAAUUGUCCAUCCAGAUCGACAUGCUUCGCAGAGCAUUGAAUAAUUUGCAGUGGACCGGUGGCGUCUAUUCCAUUGAUUAAAGCAUUAGAACUCACCUUAUCUUUUCUCUUUUGGUUUCUCCAACUCAUGAUAUUAUGCAAGUUUUAGCGGACAUGGGAACUCCAAGUGCACCUAACAUAGAUUUUGAUGUCAAAUGAGUAGACAGAAGCAUUGAUGUUGAGAUUGACUAUCAACAGUGGGGGAGCUUCCAAUUCCAAGUUUCCAACAAUUUUUCGUAACAAUUCAGAGUUCAUUUCUCUUGCUAAUUUUAAUUAUUCUCGCAUACCUCUCUAUUUGUGGUUUGUAGCCUUUUGAUUCUGUGGUUUACAAGUAUUGAGUCUAAAUUGUAAGACACAUUUGGUUGUUAAUUUUGAUUGUGGUU